GUCGAGCGCAGUAGCAAUACUGAGUGGCAAACGGGUGAGUAUAAUGUGGGAAUCUGCCUUUUGGUUUGGAAUAACACGGGGAAACUUGUGCUAAUACCGGAUAAGCCCUUACGGGGAAAGUUUUAACGCCGAAAGAUGAGCCUGCACUUGAUUAGCUAGUUGGUAAGGUAAAAGCUUACCAAGGCAACGAUCAAUAGCUGUUCUUAGAGGAAGACCAGCCACAUUGGGACUGAGACACGGCCCAGACUCCUACGGGAGGCAGCAGUGGGGAAUCUUGCACAAUGGGGGAAACCCUGAUGCAGCGAUGCCGCGUGAGUGAAGAAGGCCUUUGGGUUGUAAAACUCUUUCGUCGGGGAAGAAAAUGACUGUACCCGAAUAAGAAGGUCCGGCUAACUUCGUGCCAGCAGCCGCGGUAAUACGAAGGGACCUAGCGUAGUUCGGAAUUACUGGGCUUAAAGAGCUCGUAGGUGGUUAAAAAAGUUGAUGGUGAAAUCCCAAGGCUCAACCUUGGAACUGCCAUCAAAACUUUUUAGCUAGAGUGUGAUAGAGGUAAGUGGAAUUUCUAGUGUAGAGGUGAAAUUCGUAGAUAUUAGAAAGAACACCAAAUGCGAAGGCAACUUACUGGGUCACUACUGACACUGAGGAGCGAAAGCAUGGGUAGCGGAGAGGAUUAGAUACCCUCGUAGUCCAUGCCGUAAACGAUGUGUGCUAGACGUUGGAAAUAUAUUUUUCAGUGUCGCAGCGAAAGCAUUAAGCACACCGCCUG
rnacentral:rRNA from 1 species